AGUGAACGCUGGCGGUAGGCCUAGCACAUGCAAGUCGAACGGCAGCACAGUAAGAGCUUGCUCUUACGGGUGGCGAGUGGCGGACGGGUGAGGAAUACAUCGGAAUCUACUUUUUCGUGGGGGAUAACGUAGGGAAACUUACGCUAAUACCGCAUACGACCUACGGGUGAAAGCAGGGGAUCUUCGGACCUUGCGCGAUUGAAUGAGCCGAUGUCGGAUUAGCUAGUUGGCGGGGUAAAGGCCCACCAAGGCGACGAUCCGUAGCUGGUCUGAGAGGAUGACCAGCCACACUGGAACUGAGACACGGUCCAGACUCCUACGGGAGGCAGCAGUGGGGAAUAUUGGACAAUGGGCGCAAGCCUGAUCCAGCCAUACCGCGUGGGUGAAGAAGGCCUUCGGGUUGUAAAGCCCUUUUGUUGGGAAAGAAAAGCAGCAGGUUAAUACCCCGCUGUUCUGACGGUACCCAAAGAAUAAGCACCGGCUAACUUCGUG
rnacentral:rRNA from 1 species